UCCUGAUGAUGUCGAUAGAAAUUUUCGGGAGAUUUCAACAAAAAGCUGAAGAGAAUCCUGAAUGGAGCGGCGUCCACCCAGAAGCCGUAACAAUAAAAAAUAGCAGUAAUUCCCUGAACCGCAGUGACAAACCGAGAGAAGAAUGAUAAACAUGGAGCCCCAAUAUGUCAAUCCCCGACGAAAAAUUCUCAAUCACGCUGUUUGUAGUAUUCUAGUGGAGUGUGGAUAUGAAAAUUGUGACAGACAGGUGUUGGAAACGCUCACAGAGAUGACACAGUCCUUCAUCGUCGAAGUGGGUGAAUCCGCGAGAAGCUACACUGAACUAGCCGGGCGGACUGAACCUCUGAUUGCCGAUGUGAUUGUUGCAUUGAUAAACAUGGGAGUCAGGCUGGAGGGCCUCGAGAGCUACGGGAAGAGGCCCCACAGGACUGUAUUGCCUACCCUCCAGCAGCAAACACAGUCGAAACAGCUGAAUAUUCUUCAGGCUGGUGUCAAGCAGUCCCAUCCCUCUCAUAUUCCUAAUUAUCUGCCGGCCUUCCCUGAUCCCCAUGCAUACAUCAGAACUCCAACACACAAACAACCGGUUACUGAGUACGAGGCCAUCAGGGAGAAGGCUGCCUCCCAAAAGAGAGAUAUCGAAAGGGCUUUAACCAGAUUUAUCGCAAAAACUGGAGACACUCACAGUUUAUUUUUCACCGACGAUAACAGCGCUUUCCCCUUAAUAGCAUGCAAACCACAAUUUCCAAGCUACCUCUCGGCCCUCCUCCCUCAGGACCAAAUAUUCGAGCCUGAGCCUGAAUUUAAUUUCGAGCCGAGUCCAGUUAAAAAAAGGAAAGAAGUUAAACCAGCUGAGGAUAAGAAGGAAGAAGCGACGAUCGCAGAGAUCGUAGAGCAGAAUGAAGAGGUCUCGACUCAACAGGAUGCCAUAGAUAACCCUUACCUCAGACCUGGGAAGGUGCCGGAUGGAAAAGCCUCAGGGCUAAGUUUACCGGAUUUUAGACAGAAUGCAAAGAAAGAUAUCUUAGGAGAUUGACUAUUAAUCACAAUAGAACAUUUUUACAUAAUUAUUUUUUAUGAAGUGAGACAGUGAUCUUAUCGAAGACCAAGACUCUAUUCCCUCGGACCUCAGUCUGUUCAGCAUUGGACGGUAGAUGUCUGGGGUGAAGGGGAGAAUGACACCUCUCUGUUGAAUUUCAUCUGGAACGAACGAUAAACGACAAUUUUCAGAAAACAAAUCGACGAAAACUCCAUUGGUAAAUAACUCAAUAAAAACUAUACACUUUAGCCACGCAAUUUUCCCAUAAAAUUCUUGGGCAUGAAUUCUUCGCUUUUUCCCCCUAGAUCUUGUGAUGAGAAAUAAAAAGAAUAGAGGGGAAAAAAUUAUGCCCAAGAAUUUCUGCAGAUAAAAUUUGAAAGAAAUA